GACGAACGCUGGCGGCGUGCUUAACACAUGCAAGUCGAACGAAGAGCGAUGGAAGCUUGCUUCUAUCACUCUUAGUGGCGAACGGGUGAGUAACGCGUAAUCAACCUGCCCUUCAGAGGGGGACAACAGUUGGAAACGACUGCUAAUACCGCAUACGAUCUAAUCUCGGCAUCGAGGAUAGAUGAAAGGUGGCCUCUACAUGUAAGCUAUCACUGAAGGAGGGGAUUGCGGCUGAUUAGCUAGUUGGAGGGGGAACGGCCCACCAAGGCGAGGAUCAGUAGCCGGUCGGAGAGGAUGAACCGCCACAUUGGGACUGAGACACGGCCCAGACUCCUACGGGAGGCAGCAGGGGGGAAUCUUCCGCAAUGGACGGAAGGCUGACGGAGCAACGCCGCGGGAGUGAUGACGGCCUUCGGGUUGUAAAGCUCUGUUAGUCGGGACGAAAGGCCUUCUUGCGAAUAGUGAGAAGGAUUGACGGUACCGGAAUAGAAAGCCACGGCUAACUACGUG
rnacentral:rRNA from 1 species